rnacentral:tRNA from 1 species
CGGAGGUUCGAUCCUUCCGUCCCAGA